GUCAAAGACUCUCCUCUCGCUUGAAUCUGGUCAAAUCUAAACUUUGCAUUUCCAAAUCUCUCAUUCAAUUGCAUCACAUAGUCGACGCUUAGAUCCAGGCUAUGAUGUUGGGGGUUUUAAGGAGAAGAGUUACCACUGGAGGCUCAUCUUCUUCGAUUUUGAGGCAGUCCUUGCAGAGCAUUCGACCUGCGGCAUCUACCCCUAGAGUUUGCUCUCUUCCUGAGAAGGAGAUUUUACUUCAUCCAACUCCAAGAGGUUUUGGGCAUGUCUGUUACUUCAGCCACCUCAUUUCACCUGGUCGUUCGGUUAGUUCAGGGCUCAUGAGGGAUUUUAUCAGCGUUGAGCUUAUGGCCCUCAAGCAAAUGUGGAGCAGGCCAUUUUCUUCAGAUGGUGGGGAUUCAGUUGAUGUUGUUGUCCCUUUUAUGGGUGA
rnacentral:misc_RNA from 1 species